rnacentral:rRNA from 1 species
AACGAACGCUGGCGGCAUGCCUAACACAUGCAAGUCGAACGAGACCUUCGGGUCUAGUGGCGCACGGGUGCGUAACGCGUGGGAACCUGCCCUUAGGUUCGGAAUAACUCCCCGAAAGGGGUGCUAAUACCGGAUAAUGUCUUCGGACCAAAGAUUUAUCGCCUUUGGAUGGGCCCGCGUUGGAUUAGCUAGUUGGUAGGGUAAAAGCCUACCAAGGCGACGAUCCACAGCUGGUCUGAGAGGAUGAUCAGCCACACUGGGACUGAGACACGGCCCAGACUCCUACGGGAAGCAGCAGUGGGGAAUAUUGGACAAUGGGCGAAAGCCUGAUCCAGCAAUGCCGCGUGAGUGAUGAAGGCCUUAGGGUUGUAAAGCUCUUUUACCCGGGAUGAUAAUGACAGUACCGGGAGAAUAAGCUCCGGCUAACUCCGUG